UCAGUCGUUAUGCCAGUCUGUUUUUACUUGGUAGGUCAGUCGUUAUGCCAGUCUGUUUUUACUUGGUAGGUCAGUCGUUAUGCCAGUCUGUUUUUACUUGGUAGGUCAGUCGUUAUGCCAGUCUGUUUUUACUUGGUAGGUCAGUCGUUAUGCCAGUCUGUUUUUACUUGGUAGGUCAGUCGUUAUGCCAGUCUGUUUUUACUUGGUAGGUCAGUCGUUAUGCCAGUCUGUUUUUACUUGGUAGGUCAGUCGUUAUGCCAGUCUGUUUUUACUUGGUAGGUCAGUCGUUAUGCC